GCCAGGGGUGGAUAGCUCGGUUGGUUAGAGAGUGGUGCUGAUAACAAGGUUGCAGGUUUGAUCCCUGUAUGGGGCA